CAUUUCCAUCUCUUUAAUUUUCUAUUUCCCUUUUUGCUGUAAAAUCGUGCAAAUCUCUUCCUCUUUAGCAUAUAUUUUUCAUCUGGUUUUCUCUCCAUUUGCAGGUCUGUCCAUGAGCCUCCAUUGUUGUGCUUUCUCUUAACUCUUCCUUACUAAUUUUGUGGCUCAUGCUUGUGGUUUAUUCCCAUUGCUUCCCCUUUUUGGUUUGGUCCUUCACUACUCUGUUUUGUCUUUUUGUCGUGCCCUAUUUUGCCAUAAAGCCGUGAGCUUCACUCGUAUCUUGGUGAUUUUGGUGCUUACCAUGAGUGUGUGUUCUGCUACUACUUAUUGCCUCUCGGUUUCCCUUGGAUAUUUUUAUGGUCAAACUGGAGAACAAGAAUAUGAAGUAUUGGAACAGUCUAAUGAUCAUAGAUGAAUGAGUGCUAAGGGUACGAGUAUUUUGGAGGAUCAUAUUUAGUAGUUUUAUCUCUAGCGGUUAUUUUGGUACGUCAAGUUAUGAUUAAUUUGGGUCUUUGUGGAGAUGUUAUUUGUUGUAUUGAGGUUUUUGUUUAGUAUUUAUGUGGAAAGAUAUGGAUUUUUGGUUCGAACAAAUAAGUUAGGUAUUUUGUGGAGUUUUUGUUUA